UAAUGUCAUUACUAUUUCUGAUCCAUGAAUGACCUGUAGAAUAAAACAUCUUAUAUGAUCAUUAACAACAGAAUUCUAAGGACUUGACUACUGAAACAUGAGCCACUUACUCAAUGAGCAACAAUCAUUCUUUUCCUUGGAUCUUUAUUCAAUAGACGCUUGACAAAGUAUUUUGUCUCAGAAGAUAGAGAAGGCCAAUGAGGUUCCUCAAAACUGAGAUCAGCUUUUAAAACAGCUCUAAAUAUCCCAGAUUCAGUUCGAGCCCAAAAUGGACGACUGCCACAUAAUAAGAUAUGCUUUUAAAACAGCUCUAAAUAUCCCAGAUUCAGUUCGAGCCCAAAAUGGACGACUGCCACAUAAUAAGAUAUAUGAUAUAACCCCAAUACUCUAGACAUCAGCCAUUGUACUGUAAGAUCUAUGUAAAACUUCAGGAGCAAUAUAGUAUGCGUUGCCGACAAUAUCAUUUAGCCUUUCAUCUGAAACCCACUUAAAUUAUUGAAAAAUGAACGGACUCCCAGAGCUAGCACAGAGAGAAGAAGGGGCGAGGGAAUAUACCUGACUUCACAAAAUUUGAGAGUCCAAAAUCAAUGGCUUUUAAUGCAGCUCCAAUAAUUUUUUAGAUUAAAUUUCCUUUAAUCUUUCAUUUCCAUUCCCUCACAUUUUCAAAGUUGCAAUACAAACCUACAAUAUAAUGAACCAGAAUGUCAGUGUUCGCGUGUGCGCGCGAGUGUGUGUCAAAUAUAGCCAAUAUGUAGAACCCACUGCAAAAAUGUUUGUACCAACAAAUUAUCAUCCUGUUUUAGACCAUUUGUCAGAAUUUUUAAGAAAUCGGUACUUCAACAUAAAAUCGUUUUGAUUUACAAAAAUGAUCAAACUUAAAAUAAAAAAGGAAAUUAGUCUAGUUUCUCUAAUGCUUUCUGUAGUCUCAAAUUUACCAUAGGCAUGCAUCACCUUGUCAAUGAAGAAAGUAUACAAAGCUUGGCUAUUGCCCAACUGAAUAAAGAAACGGUCCUCCUCCGCCCAAUAAACAAAAAAGUUACCGUCAUUAUAAUGACACAAUCCAGCAGACUUAAAUUCAAUGCAUGUAUUGGUGGUUUGAGUUACAAGUUAUAUCUCAC
rnacentral:lncRNA from 1 species